rnacentral:rRNA from 1 species
UACGAAGGGGGCUAGCGUUGCUCGGAAUCACUGGGCGUAAAGGGCGCGUAGGCGGCCGAUUAAGUCGGGGGGUGAAAGCCUGUGGCUCAACCACAGAAUUGCCUCGAUACUGGUUGGCUUGAGACCGGAAGAGGACAGCGGAACUGCGAGUGUAGAGGUGAAAUUCGUAGAUAUUCGCAAGAACACCAGUGGCGAAGGCGGCUGUCUGGUCCGGUUCUGACGCUGAGGCGCGAAAGCGUGGGGAGCAAACAGG